CCAGACUCAGUUGCGCAGAAUUGGGAGGUUAACUCAUGGAACCCAAGCUUAAGAAGAAAUCUGAAUGACUGGGAGUUUGAUGACUUGGUAGCACUUCUUGGCAGCCUUCACAAUAGUUCAACCAUUACUCCAGGUAGGGACAAACUCCAAUGGGGCAGCAGGAGUGAUGCAUACUCAGUCAGAGCUAGUUAUCAAACCUUAAGCUCCAGGAAGGAAAUGAUUGAUCAGAGGCCCUGAAAACUAAUUUGGAGGACAA
rnacentral:lncRNA from 1 species